UUGAAGGAUUUGUAAGAAAUGUUUGAGGAAGCUGACUCGGUGUUUAACAUUAAGUCAGCUCCCUCAAACGUUUCUUACAAAUCCUUCAA